GCAAACUUGGUCAUUUAGAGGAAGUAAAAGUCGUAACAAGGUUUCCGUAGGUGAACCUGCGGAAGGAUCAUUAUCGAGUUAGGGUCCUCUGGGCCCGACCUCCAUCCCUUUGUCUACCUUACCUCUUGUUGCUUCGGCGGGCCCGUCCACCCCCUGCGAAGGGGGAGACCGCCGGAGGGUUCCUGCCCUCUGGCCCGCGCCCGCCGGUGGCCUUCAAACCAUAAACUCUUGUCUAAAUCGUGUCGUCUGAGUGAAGAAAUCAAUAAUCAAAAACUUUCAACAACGGAUCUCUUGGUUCUGGCAUCGAUGAAGAACGCAGC
rnacentral:misc_RNA from 1 species